rnacentral:rRNA from 1 species
CUGAUGCUACUGCGGAGAUCAUUG